rnacentral:rRNA from 1 species
UACAGAGGGUGCGAGCGUUAAUCGGAUUUACUGGGCGUAAAGGGUGCGUAGGCGGUUAAAUAAGUGGAAUGUGAAAGCCCUGGGCUCAACCUAGGAAGUGCAUACCAAACUAUUUGGCUGGAGUAUAUGAGAGGGUGGCGGAAUUUCCGGUGUAGCGGUGAAAUGCGUAGAGAUCGGAAGGAACGUCAAUGGCGAAGGCAGCCACCUGGCAUAAUACUGACGCUGAGGCACGAAAGCGUGGGGAGCAAACAGG